rnacentral:rRNA from 1 species
CUAACGCGUUAAGUCGACGCCUGGGGAGUACGGCCGCAAGGUUAAAACUCAAAUGAAUUGACGGGGGCCCGCACAAGCGGUGGAGCAUGUGGUUUAAUUCGAUGCAACGCGAAGAACCUUACCUGGUCUUGACAUCCACGGAAGUUUUCAGAGAUGAGAAUGUGCCUUCGGGAACCGUGAGACAGGUGCUGCAUGGCUGUCGUCAGCUCGUGUUGUGAAAUGUUGGGUUAAGUCCCGCAACGAGCGCAACCCUUAUCCUUUGUUGCCAGCGGUCCGGCCGGGAACUCAAAGGAGACUGCCAGUGAUAAACUGGAGGAAGGUUGGGAUGACGUCAAGUCAUCAUGGCCCUUACGACCAGGGCUACACACGUGCUACAAUGGCGCAUACAAAGAGAAGCGACCUCGCGAGAGCAAGCGGACCUCAUAAAGUGCGUCGUAGUCCGGAUUGGAGUCUGCAACUCGACUCCAUGAAGUCGGAAUCGCUAGUAAUCGUGGAUCAGAAUGCCACGGUGAAUACGUUCCCGGGCCUUGUACACACCGCCCGUCACACCAUGGGAG